rnacentral:rRNA from 1 species
GACAGAGGUGCCAAGCGUUAGGCGGAAUCACUGGGCUUAAAGCGUGUGUAGGCGGAUCGUUAAGUACCUUGUGAAAUCCCACGGCUCAACCGUGGAACUGCUCGGUAUACUGGCGGUCUUGAGCCAGCUAGGGGCUACCGGAACAAAUGGUGGAGCGGUGAAAUGCGUAGAUAUCAUUUGGAACGCCAAUGGUGAAAACAGGUAGCUGGGGCUGUGCUGACACUGAGACACGAAAGCCAGGGGAGCAAACGGG